GUGCUUGCUUCGUUAGCACAUUAUACUAAAAUUGGGACGAUACAGAGAAUAUCAGCAUGGCCCCUGCACAAGAAUGACAAGCAAAUUCUUAAAAUCCUGCUGUUUUUU
rnacentral:snRNA from 1 species